GAUGGCCUAGUGGUUAAAGCGUUCGCCUCGGAUGCGGGAGGUCGUGUGUUCGAUGCCCUGCCGAGUCAUACCA